CCAUCGGUGGUUCAGUGGUAGAAUGCUUGCCUGCCACUCAGGCGGCCAGGGUUCGAUUCCCGGCCGAUGUA